UGGGGAACUUUGGACAAUGGGCGCAAGCCUGAUCCAGCAAUGCCGCGUGCAGGAUGAAGGCCUUCGGGUUGUAAACUGCUUUUGUACGGAGCGAAAAGGUCUGCCCUAAUACGGUGGGCUCAUGACGGUACCGUAAGAAUAAGCACCGGCUAGCUACGUGCCAGCAGCCGCGGUAAUACGUAGGGUGCGAGCGUUAAUCGGAAUUACUGGGCGUAAAGCGUGCGCAGGCGGUUAUAUAAGACAGUUGUGAAAUCCCCGGGCUCAACCUGGGACCUGCAUUUGUGACUGUAUAGCUAGAGUACGGUAGAGGGGGAUGGAAUUCCGCGUGUAGCAGUGAAAUGCGUAGAUAUGCGGAGGAACACCGAUGGCGAAGGCAAUCCCCUGGACCUGUACUGACGCUCAUGCACGAAAGCGUGGGGAGCAAACA
rnacentral:rRNA from 1 species